UUUCAUAAAAAUGAAUUAUACUUUUAACCAGAUAUGUUUGGCCUUUGUAAGAACCUUUUGAAUCAAACUAGUGAUUCAAAAGGUUUUCGAUGGCUUACACGACGUUUUCUUAUAUAUAUGCUGUCCCAUGUUUAUUUGUGUUCAUUAGGUUCUUUCUUCAGUUAAAUGUUAGGGUAAAUGAACCAUAACUAUGUAGCCCUAUUCCUAAUAGAUUGACCCCAAAAUAGCAUAUCCAAAUUAUAAGAAAUCCCAUAGAGGCUACAAUUGCAGAAUUUACAACCUCAAAAUCUUUAUUUGUUCGAAUAUGUAAAUAAAUCACGAAUACGGUCCAAGUAAUAAAUGCCCAAGUUUCUUUCGGAUCCCAAUUCCAAUAUGAGCCCCAUGCCUCAUUUGCCCAUACUGCUCUCGAAAGAAUACCUAUGGUUAAAAAGAUAAAACCUAUACCAAUAAUACGAUAACUCCAAUGAUCCAAUUGUUGAAUCAAUUGAGACCUAUAAUAAUUCCUAGAAGAAAUUAAGGAAGUGUUCCAUAAAACAUUGUUUCUUUCGUUCAUGUAUUGGAUCUCAU